rnacentral:rRNA from 3 species
CAGAACGACUCUCGGCAACGGAUAUCUCGGCUCUCGCAUCGAUGAAGAACGUAGCGAAAUGCGAUACGUGGUGUGAAUUGCAGAAUCCCGUGAACCAUCGAGUUUUUGAACGCAAGUUGCGCCCGAAGCCUUCAGGUUGAGGGCACGUCUGCCUGGG